CUGGGCUCACUGCGCACGCGCGGCCUCCGGCUUGGUCCCAGGUGGAGCUGAUUUAGCCGAGCUGGCGCCGCCGUGAGCCUCCGAGAUGAGCGCGGCCGAGGCCGACCGCUGGGCUUGGCUGCUGGUGCUCAGCUUCGUGUUUGGGUGCAAUGUACUCAGGAUCCUCCUCCCGUCCUUCUCCUCCUUCAUGUCCAGGGUGCUGCAGAAGGACGUGAAGCAGGAGUCACAGAUGCGAGCAGAGAUCCAGGGCAUGAAGCAGGAGCUCUCCACCGUCAGCAUGAUGGACGAGUUUGCCAGAUACGCCAGGCUGGAGAGGAAGAUCAACAAGAUGACUGAUAAGCUCAAAACUCACGGACUGAUACCAUUUCAUCCUGUUUUUCCUUUCAGUGAAAGCACGGACAGCUCAGUUGGCCAAGAUAAAAUGGGUUAUAAGUGUUGCUUUCUACAUAUUGCAAGCUGCCCUGAUGGUCACACUCAUCUGGACGUACUACUCUGUCCCUGUGGCCGUGGUGCCGAGUAGGUGGAUAACUCCACUAGACCGCCUGGUAGCGUUUCCCACUGGAGUGGCAGGGCUUGCAGCAAAGGAGCUGACGUCUAGAGAACUUACGUGUCCAGUGUCACCGAAAUGUGAAGUAGCAGGGCUACAGUUCAACCCAAGCCUGCCUCCGUGAUCCAAGCCCAAUACCUGGGGUCUGAUACCCCUUUUAUUGAAACAUCACCUCUGGUUCCCAAAUUCUGUGACUCCUUUUCAAUUCACGCUAUGCUUAGCCCCUCUGCAGCAUUUCCUGCUAUCGGCCAUUCUUUGACUUCUGAAAGAAUUUCUUUUGGGUGUUAAAAUUAGUACAUGUCAUCGUAGAAUGAUUAGAAAUAUAAAAAAACUUUUAAAAAGACUCAGUAGCUGUGGAGAACCGCUCUUAACAUUGCGGUAUAUUUUUUCCAGUCUUCUUUUCUAUUUAGUUUUGUAUGGUUAAGGUUAUCUGGCACGUACAAUUUUUUACCCCUCUUACUAUGUAAGCCUUUUUCCACAUCAAUACAUUUCUUCAGAGUAGAGACGGACAUGCUGCUGGCUGUGCUGAGAGGGCAGCUUAAUAAAUUUCUUUAUUAAGGAAUUUUGAAUAGCUAUUCUUCAUUUGGAUGUGUCAUAAUUUACUAAUUUCCCUGUUAAAGGAUAUUUAUUUAAGUCCCCAGUCUUUGCUGUAGAGAUGACGCUGCAGUACACAUCCUGGUCAGCCAGUCUUUGGUUGUGAUUUGUGAUCACGCUGGAGGUGAAUUGCUAAGUCAAAGGGAUGACCGUGUCAAAGAUUUCCAAUUUAGCCAGGCCCCUUCCUUCCCCUCCCCCUCCCUCUUCCCGGACCCAGCCAGGAUUGUUGUAGCUGGUGGCUCUCAGUGUUGCUGAGCCGAGGAGCCAGAGGCCACCCUUCCGGGCAUCUUGUGGCCUCUCUUCCUGUCUCUCAGCAUCAGUGGGGCAAGAAAGGUGUGGGUAAACAUUCCAUCGUGCUUGUAAUGCUUUGGUGGGAAGGGAAAAACAGAUCAUCUGACAGGGUGGCCUUACAGUCUAUUAAUAUCAUAAAUAAUGAUGCACAUCCCUCUGGCAGGAAAGAUAAAUUCAAAUCAUUGUUUGUUGUCUUGAGUAGUUCCUGCUUAGUAAAGAAGGCAGCUCUGUGAAUCAGUAGAAAGUCUGCGGGCUUCCCUGGUGGCGCAGUGGUUAAGAAUCUGCCUGCCAAUGCAGGGGACAACGGUUCGAGCCCUGGUCUGGGAGGAUCCCACAUGCCACGGAGCAGCUAAGCCCGUGCGCCACAACUACUGAGCCUGCGCUCUAGAGCCUGAGAGCCACAACUACUGAAGCCCACGUGCCACAACUACUGAAGCCCAUGCGCACCUAGAGCCCGUGCUCCGCAACAAGAGAAGCCACCGCAAUGAGAAGCCCGCGCGCCGCAACAAAAGAGUAGCCCCCGCUCGCCACAACUAGAGAAAGCCUGCGUGCAGCAACGAAGACCCAGAGCAGCCCCCCCCCAAAAAAGUGAUCAAUUUGGACCCAGGAAACACAAACUUGGUGUUAGCCCAACACUACUCAAAAAGGACUGAAGUGCUCUAUUUCCUAAAGUCAGAGGUAGCAGAGGCAGGAAAUGUGGGCGAACUCCUGGCAUGCUCUCAUGUUGAAUUUCUUUAU